CUCCAGACUCCUACGGGAGGCAGCAGUGAGGAAUAUUGGUCAAUGGUCGGGAGACUGAACCAGCCAAGCCGCGUGAGGGAGGAAGGUACAGAGUAUCGUAAACCUCUUUUGUCAGGGAACAAAGGCGGGGACGUGUCCCCGGAUGAGUGUACCUGAAGAAAAAGCAUCGGCUAACUCCGUGCCAGCAGCCGCGGUAAUACGGAGGAUGCGAGCGUUAUCCGGAUUUAUUGGGUUUAAAGGGUGCGCAGGCGGUCUGUUAAGUCAGCGGUAAAAUUUCGGGGCUCAACCCCGUCGUGCCGUUGAAACUGGCGUUCUUGAGAUGUCGAGAGGUAUGCGGAAUGCGCAGUGUAGCGGUGAAAUGCUUAGAUAUUGCGCAGGACUCCGAUUGCGAAGGCAGCAUACCGGCGGCGAUCUGACGCUGAGGCACGAAAGCGUGGGUAUCGAACAGGAUUAGAUACCCUCGUA
rnacentral:rRNA from 1 species